rnacentral:rRNA from 1 species
UACAGAGGUCCCAAGCGUUGUUCGGAUUCAUUGGGCGUAAAGGGUGCGUAGGCGGCGCGGUAAGUCGGGUGUGAAAUCUCGGAGCUUAACUCCGAAACUGCAUUCGAUACUGGCGUGCUUGAGGACUGGAGAGGAGACUGGAAUUCAUGGUGUAGCAGUGAAAUGCGUAGAGAUCAUGAGGAAGACCAGUGGCGAAGGCGGGUCUCUGGGCAGUAACUGACGCUGAGGAGCGAAAGCGUGGGGAGCGAACAGG